rnacentral:rRNA from 1 species
UUGAUGGAGAGUUUGAUCCUGGCUCAGGACGAACGCUGGCGGCGUGCUUAACACAUGCAAGUCGUGCGGAGAUGAGACGGAAGUUUACUUUUGUUUCAUCUUAGCGGCGGACGUGUGAGUAACACGUGAACAACCUGCCCUACCAACAAGCUAAUGGGGCGCGAACCCAUCCUAACACGCCAGCUUAUAGAUAGAGGCCGACUUUCCUCUCCGGAUGAUGUCAUCCAAAGAGCGUAUCCGGUAUUAGCA